rnacentral:rRNA from 1 species
UACGUAGGGUGCAAGCGUUAAUCGGAAUUACUGGGCGUAAAGCGUGCGCAGGCGGUUGUGCAAGACCGAUGUGAAGUCCCCGGGCUUAACCUGGGAAUGGCAUUGGUGACUGCACGGCUAGAGUGUGUCAGAGGGGGGUAGAAUUCCACGUGUAGCAGUGAAAUGCGUAGAGAUGUGGAGGAAUACCGAUGGCGAAGGCAGCCCCCUGGGAUAACACUGACGCUCAUGCACGAAAGCGUGGGGAGCAAACAGG